rnacentral:rRNA from 1 species
UAGUCAUAUGCUUGUCUCAAAGAUUAAGCCAUGCAUGUCUAAGUAUAAGCACUUAUACCGUGAAACUGCGAAUGGCUCAUUAAAUCAGUUAUAGUUUAUUUGAUAGUACCUUACUACAUGGAUAACCGUGGUAAUUCUAGAGCUAAUACAUGCGAACAAUCCCGACUUUUCGGAAGGGAUGUAUUUAUUAGAUACAAAACCAAUCGGGGGCAACCCCGCUUCUUGGUGAUUCAUAAUAACUGCUCGAAUCGUAUGGCGCACGCCGACGAUGGUUCAUU